rnacentral:tRNA from 1 species
UUAGAGGUAGUUUAUCAAAACAUUAAAUUGCAAGUUUAAAGAUAUAAUUAUUUUGUCCACUAGA